rnacentral:miRNA from 1 species
UGUAGCUCAGAUGAUAGAGU